rnacentral:rRNA from 1 species
CAAUAGCGUAUAUUAAAGUUGUUGCAGUUAAAGAGCUCGUAGUUGGAUUUCUGGUGGGAGCGAUCGGUCUGGCGCUUAGCGCGAGUACUUGCAUCGUCUCCGGCCAUCCUUGGGGAAAGUCUGUCUGGCAUUAAGUUGUUGGGCAGAGGAUCCUCAUCGUUUACUGUGAAAAAAUUAGAGUGUUCAAAGCAGGCUUAUGCCGUUGAAUAUAUUAGUAUGGAAUAAUAAGAUAGGACUUUGGUACUAUUUUGAUGGUUUGCGCACCAAAGUAAUGAUUAAUAGGGACAGUUGGGGGUAUUCGUAUUCCGUUGUCAGAGGUGAAAUUCUUGGAUUUACGGAAGACGAACUACUGCGAAAGCAUUUACCAAGGAUGUUUUCAUUAA